CCGCCCAUCAGCUGCACGUGCGACGGAAGCUCCCGGGCGGCCCGGCCCUGGUGUCUGUAGUGGUGUCUCAUGCUCCUAGCGAUUUGCUCCUCAAAGCCGACUCCGGAGAGAGAAGAGGUGGACGUCCCUAUAAGCGCCCCCAGGACCCUCAUCUAUAGCCAGAUUACAAGAGGAACCUGCCCACCAAAAGGUAUAGUUAACCCUACCCCGGAUCCCUUUCCUCCUUUAUGUACAAUAUUACCAUCUGUAGUUCCGACACCUUGUGAGAUCCAGAAGAUAUGGCCGUGGUGGUGUAGUUACCUGGGCUGUUACACAGGGCCACGGAUGUGCUGGACUGCCAACACUGAAAACCAAUGAGACAAUGACAAAUAGUCCUUGUGACUGCCCCCUAAUGCUCAUCCCUGGGUCCUUCAGAACCACCGCCACCCAGGACUCUUAGGUUUAGCUAAAGGAAUAAUGUUCCUACAAAUGGUAAAUGGGAAGGGAAUAGUGGUUCAGUACCUUGAUACUAAUCAUAGUAGAGGUGAUGGGACUGUGGGGUAUAUUGCACUCCCUGCCCUGAGGAUAUUAAGGUAUUCUCCAAUAACCCCUAUACAAAUCCGCUAUCACCAAAGGGAUCCAGACAAACAGUGGGUCUACUGAUUACCAAAAUAAUCAUCUUGGUUGGUUCCUUGAUAGGACUAGGUAGGGAAUUAAUUUACAACAUCUCAUACAAAAGGUCAUAGCCACUGUGUCCAUGAUAUUAGCCAAAACUGGACAGGAUUUUAUUAUUUUUAUUUUUUUAAAGAUUUUUUAAAAAAUUUAUUCAUGAGAGACACAAAGAGAGAGAGGCAGAGAUACAGGCAGAGGGAGAAGCAGGCCCCAUGCAGGGAGCCCGACGCAGGACUCGAUCCCUGGGUCUCCAGGAUCACACCCUGGGCCGAAGGUGGUGCUCAGCCACCUGGGCUGCCCCAGGACAGGAUUUUAAACUUCUACAAAAAUCAUUAGAUUCUCUGACUUCAAGGGUCUUAG
rnacentral:lncRNA from 12 species